GACGAACGCNGGCGGCGUGCUUAACACAUGCAAGUCGAACGAAGAGCGAUGGAAGUUUGCUUCUAUCAAUCUUAGUGGCGAACGGGUGAGUAACGCGUAAUCAACCUGCCCUUCAGAGGGGGACAACAGUUGGAAACGACUGCUAAUACCGCAUACGAUCUAAUCUCGGCAUCGAGGAUAGAUGAAAGGUGGCCUCUACAUGUAAGCUAUCACUGAAGGAGGGGAUUGCGUCUGAUUAGCUAGUUGGAGGGGUAACGGCCCACCAAGGCGAUGAUCAGUAGCCGGUCUGAGAGGAUGAACGGCCACAUUGGGACUGAGACACGGCCCAGACUCCUACGGGAGGCAGCAGUGGGGAAUCUUCCGCAAUGGACGAAAGUCUGACGGAGCAACGCCGCGUGAGUGAUGACGGCCUUCGGGUUGUAAAGCUCUGUUAAUCGGGACGAAAGGCCUUCUUGCGAAUAGNGAGAAGGAUGACGNU
rnacentral:rRNA from 1 species